GCCUUCGUAGUGUAACGGACAUCACACUCAACACGUACUCGAGAAUUCCGGGGUUCGAGUCCCAGCAAGGGCA
rnacentral:tRNA from 1 species